GGAGCAGCACGGUAGCUCGUCGGGCUCAUAACCCGAAGGUCGCAGGUUCAAAUCCUGUC
rnacentral:tRNA from 3 species